rnacentral:tRNA from 1 species
UGGGGGUAUAACUUAAUAGGUAGAGUGUAUGUUUUGCAAGCAUGAAGUAUCGGUUCAAGUCCGAUUAUCUCCAA